rnacentral:lncRNA from 1 species
AUGGAAACCAAAGAUGUGUGGAUCCCCUUGGAGGUAGACCUCUGGGAUACUUGCUGUGUGGCUCUGGCAGCUUCAAACAUCGCACCUUCCUGUCAUCUCUCACACCACUGGGGCCUCAGUCACAGGCAGCUGCUGUCCUCCUGCCCACCUCCUUCCUUCCUCAGCCAAGAGGACCGCCGCAGAGCCAGAUGCAGAGACACACAGGUCACCUUUGGGCUCACAGUACUUGAGACCUGA